rnacentral:rRNA from 1 species
AUUGAACGCUGGCGGCAGGCUUAACACAUGCAAGUCGAGCGGGGGAAGGUAGCUUGCUACCGGACCUAGCGGCGGACGGGUGAGUAAUGCUUAGGAAUCUGCCUAUUAGUGGGGGACAACAUCUCGAAAGGAUGCUAAUACCGCACACGUCCUACGGGAGAAAGCAGGGGAUCUUCGGACCUUGCGCUAAUAGAUGAGCCUAAGUCGGAUUAGCUAGGUGGGGGGGUAAAGGCCUACCAAGGCGACGAUCUGUAGCGGGUCUGAGAGGAUGAUCCGCCACACUGGGACUGAGACACGGCCCAGACUCCUACGGGAGGCAGCAGUGGGGAAUAUUGGACAAUGGGGGGAACCCUGAUCCAGCCAUGCCGCGUGUGUGAAGAAGGCCUUAUGGUUGUAAAGCACUUUAAGUGAGGAGGAGGCUACUCUAGUUAAUACCUAGGGAUAGUGGACGUUACUCGCAGAAUAAGCACCGGCUAACUCUGUGCCAGCCGCCGCGGUAA